UUAUUAAGUCAAGCCAUCUUGAUAGGAACACCCGAAAUAUAUGUAAUUUGGCCAGUAUAUAUAUAUAAACUGAAGAAGUCCAUCUAUCCCAUGCAAGUGUUACCUAAUUACAAACAUGAAAUUUUUUUGGUUUCUUCAAAUCCUGUUCUGCCUGGCCAUGGUUCUCAUCAAUCCCUCGGUUGCUCCCAGUGCACCAGCUCCUCCUUCAACUGGUGACCCGAUUACAGAACCACUCCGUCCACCGCCACGCAAGGUCUCUGGUUCAUGGCCAAGAAGAAAUUCUUGAUAAGCUUAUAUAUAUAAAUAUAAAGUUUGGUUCUUCAAUAUAUAUGUAGUAUCUCUUCACUUCUAAACCUUUUUCUGCUUGUGAUCACCAUAAAUAAGCUAGCAUAGUUCUUCUCCAAUGUUUUUGGCUAUAUAUGUAUAAUACUUUGAUCGAAUUUCUUGUUGCGUGUGAUAAUAAUGCCUCCAGUUAAUUAAAUACUAAGAAAAUAUUGAAAUUCCUCAA